rnacentral:rRNA from 1 species
GACGAACGCUGGCGGCGUGCUUAACACAUGCAAGUCGAACGGAAAGGCCCUGCUUUUGUGGGGUGCUCGAGUGGCGAACGGGUGAGUAACACGUGAGUAACCUGCCCCUGACUUUGGGAUAACUUCAGGAAACUGGGGCUAAUACCGGAUAGGAUCUCUUGCUCCAUGGUGGGGGUUGGAAAGUUUCGGCGGUUGGGGAUGGACUCGCGGCUUAUCAGCUUGUUUGUGAGGUAGUGGCUUACCAAGGUUUUGACGGGUAGCCGGCCUGGGAGGGUGACCGGCGACAUUGGGACUGAGAUACGGACCAGACUGCUACGGGAGGCAGCAGUGGAGAAUAUUGCACAAUAGGCGGAAGCCUGAUGCAGCAACGCCGCGUGCGGAAUGACGGCCUUCGGGUUGUAAACCGCUUUCGCCUGUGACGAAGCGUGAGUGACGGUAAUGGGUAAAGAAGCACCGGCUAACUACAUG